AACGAACGCUGGCGGCAUGCCUAACACAUGCAAGUCGAACGAGACCUUCGGGUCUAGUGGCGCACGGGUGCGUAACGCGUGGGAAUCUGCCCUUGGGUUCGGAAUAACUCACCGAAAGGUGUGCUAAUACCGGAUGAUGUCGAAAGACCAAAGAUUUAUCGCCCAGGGAUGAGCCCGCGUAGGAUUAGCUAGUUGGUGAGGUAAAGGCUCACCAAGGCGACGAUCCUUAGCUGGCUGAGAGGAUGAUCAGCCACACUGGGACUGAGACACGGCCCAGACUCCUACGGGAGGCAGCAGUGGGGAAUAUUGGACAAUGGGCGAAAGCCUGAUCCAGCAAUGCCGCGUGAGUGAUGAAGGCCUUA
rnacentral:rRNA from 1 species